GAGAGGCAGACAGAAAAGCACUUGCUGAAACACAAAGUUUUGUUCUGUCCUCAACGAACUGUCUAGAGCUGAUUGCUGAUAGUCGUGGUGCAUUAUGCCUUCCUGGUUUUCAUUUAAUUGGGCACCACGCUGCCUUUCAAGACGCCUUAAAGGAACCAACAACCAAAUCCAAGAGAGCUGGACAGACCAUUGAACACACAGUAGGCUGUGUCUCGUGGCUUUCGUUGUCUGGUGCCUCAAAGAAAACACCAGAAAGAUUGUUUCUAAGCUAGAGCCACCCCAGAUUGCUUAAAGUGCAAAGCUCACUGCUGUUGGGGGUACCCUUGUGAGACACUGGAAAGCUGGUUUUACCGUGGCCCUAUGAAGAGGAAGACUGAAAUUUAGACAGUAAUACCUUUACUAGGAUUGGAAAAGAUUUGGUUAAUGACAGCCCUGUCAUUUCUAAAACCCAUUAUCACUGUAUGAGAGAUUCCUUUGCGCUGCAUCCUCGACAGUGCUUCCUAAGGCUCUGCCGACUUCCAGUUCUGGAACAAGAUGGUUAAACUCAUUUUUCCCUGCUCUGCUCCUCUAAAUACAACUAAGUACCUUGGAAACUAUUCAGCAGACAAUGAUAAAGGGCUCUGAAAGCUAGAAGAAAAGGUGUACUUGCAAGAAACCUCAGGACUUGAGUAACAGCAACAUGUGCAACCUAACUCACCCUAAGAAGCCAGCAAGGCAAUGCCAGUGCAGAGGAGAAAAGCAGAAUCCUGAGACACAAGAUGAUAAGGAGCGGAGGGUCUGCAGAAGGGCUGGUCUAGAUGCAUGUGAGGAGCAAGUUCAAGUCAGACUCAAUGUCAUUUCACCAUGAUUGGGGCAGAGUGGCACCGGGCCUGGUGGGAUCAGAAGGCAGGACACGGCGGACAGCUGGAUUGCCCCUUUCUAAAUCCAGCUUUCUUCAUCCAGGAAGCCUUCUCUGACCCUCCCACCCAUAGGGCCCUCUCCUACCCUGAACUCCUCCAGAAUUCUGUCUGCUGAAAGAAGGCAUGUGGAGUGUGAGAAGACAGCAGGGCUCUGAAGUCAGACCGAUGUGGUUUAAAUAUUGGUUUCUUGUGUUCAAUCAUCUGACCAUUAAUUCAACAUCUGUAGCAUGCCAGGCACUGUUCUACAUCCUGGAAAUGUGUUCAUGUUCAAGAGCUGGGUGUUCUUGGAUCCUGUAUGCAAAUGAGGGAGAGAGAGACAGUCAAUAACAACAAUAACAAAGCCAAACAUGCAAAAA
ensembl:lncRNA MIR4435-2HG MIR4435-2 host gene